AUGAACGCUAGCUACAGGCUUAACACUUGCAAGUCGAGGGGCAGCAUGGUCUUAGCUUGCUAAGGCCGAUGGCGACCGGCGCACGGGUGAGUAACACGUAUCCAACCUGCCGUCUACUCUUGGACAGCCUUCUGAAAGGAAGAUUAAUACAAGAUGGCAUCAUGAGUCCGCAUGUUCACAUGAUUAAAGGUAUUCCGGUAGACGAUGGGGAUGCGUUCCAUUAGAUAGUAGGCGGGGUAACGGCCCACCUAGUCUUCGAUGGAUAGGGGUUCUGAGAGGAAGGUCCCCCACAUUGGAACUGAGACACGGUCCAAACUCCUACGGGAGGCAGCAGUGAGGAAUAUUGGUCAAUGGGCGCAGGCCUGAACCAGCCAAGUAGCGUGAAGGAUGACUGCCCUAUGGGUUGUAAACUUCUUUUAUAAAGGAAUAAAGUCGGGUAUGGAUACCCGUUUGCAUGUACUUUAUGAAUAAGGAUCGGCUAACUCCGUGCCAGCAGCCGCGGUAAUACGGAGGAUCCGAGCGUUAUCCGGAUUUAUUGGGUUUAAAGGGAGCGUAGAUGGAUGUUUAAGUCAGUUGUGAAAGUUUGCGGCUCAACCGUAAAAUUGCAGUUGAUACUGGAUAUCUUGAGUGCAGUUGAGGCAGGCGGAAUUCGUGGUGUAGCGGUGAAAUGCUUAGAUAUCACGAAGAACUCCGAUUGCGAAGGCAGCCUGCUAAGCUGCAACUGACAUUGAGGCUCGAAAGUGUGGGUAUCAAACAGGAUUAGAUACCCUGGUAGUCCACACGGUAAACGAUGAAUACUCGCUGUUUGCGAUAUACGGCAAGCGGCCAAGCGAAAGCGUUAAGUAUUCCACCUGGGGAGUACGCCGGCAACGGUGAAACUCAAAGGAAUUGACGGGGGCCCGCACAAGCGGAGGAACAUGUGGUUUAAUUCGAUGAUACGCGAGGAACCUUACCCGGGCUUAAAUUGCAGAUGAAUUACGGUGAAAGCCGUAAGCCGCAAGGCAUCUGUGAAGGUGCUGCAUGGUUGUCGUCAGCUCGUGCCGUGAGGUGUCGGCUUAAGUGCCAUAACGAGCGCAACCCUUGUUGUCAGUUACUAACAGGUUCCGCUGAGGACUCUGACAAGACUGCCAUCGUAAGAUGUGAGGAAGGUGGGGAUGACGUCAAAUCAGCACGGCCCUUACGUCCGGGGCUACACACGUGUUACAAUGGGGGGUACAGAGGGCCGCUACCACGCGAGUGGAUGCCAAUCCCAAAAACCUCUCUCAGUUCGGACUGGAGUCUGCAACCCGACUCCACGAAGCUGGAUUCGCUAGUAAUCGCGCAUCAGCCACGGCGCGGUGAAUACGUUCCCGGGCCUUGUACACACCGCCCGUCAAGCCAUGGGAGCCGGGGGUACCUGAAGUGCGUAACCGCGAGGAGCGCCCUAGGGUAAAACUGGUGACUGGGGCU
rnacentral:rRNA from 1 species